CUUGAAAUAGCUCAGUUGGGGGAGCAUUAGACUGAAGAUCUAAAGGGCCCUGGUUUCAUGA
rnacentral:tRNA from 1 species